rnacentral:rRNA from 1 species
CCUACGGGAGGCAGCAGUGAGGAAUAUUGGUCAAUGGGCUGACGCCUGAACCAGCCAAGUCGCGUGAGGGAAGACUGCCCGAUGGGUUGUAAACCGCUUUUGUCAGGGAGCAACGCCGGCUACGUGUAGCCGGACGGAGAGGACCUGAAGAAAAAGCAUCGGCUAACUCGGUGCCAGCAGCCGCGGUAAUACGGAGGAUGCGAGCGUGAUCCGGAUUGCGUGGGUUUAAAGGGUGCGUAGGCGGAAUGCCAAGUCAGCGGUAAAAUCGCGGGGCUAAACCUCGCUCCGCCGUUGCAACUGGCGUUCUUGAGUGGGCGAGACGUAUGCGGAAUGCGUGGUGUAGCGGU